ACGGAGGGGGCAAACGUUGUUCGGAAUCACUGGGCGUAAAGGGUGCGUAGGCGGUUCGGUAAGUCUGAUGUGAAAUCCCACGGCUCAACCGUGGAACUGCAUUGGAAACUGUCGAGCUCGAGGAUGGGAGAGGUUGGUGGAAUUCCUGGUGUAGCGGUGGAAUGCGUAGAUAUCAGGAAGAACACUCGUGGCGAAGGCGGCCAACUGGCCCAUUUCUGACGCUGAGGCACGAAAGCCAGGGGAGCAAACGG
rnacentral:rRNA from 1 species